AGAUCCAACCAAUCAGGUCUCCUUCUUCCCAUAUAGGGAAGUCCACCCUCAUGCGUGGAUAGUUGGGAUCGAUCAUAGAGCCUCCCCUCCCUUGGAAGUCAUCUCUUCGGGCUUGGUGCGAUUGGGCAAAGCUCUCUCCUUGAUGUGAUUUCUUUGGGCUUAGUGGUCGGCCCAAUCUGAGUUCGGUAAAGAGCGUCCGAAUCUUAUCCUCCAUUCGUGCCUCCAAGGCUUCGAAUUUAGCAUUGAUUUCAUCUUUAGAUACCAUAGUAUAUGUCUUCAAAUCUAUGAUAUUAAGAUCCCUCUUUUGUUGUUGGGUUAAAGGCAUGUAUUGGUUGAGAGAGGUGAUGGUCGAAAGGGUUGGUGGAUUGGUGGAUGUAGGCUACGGUUUAGGCUUAUUUUGUUGCUGUUUUGGGUGCAGUUUGAGGGUGUGGUUUGGUGGGGUUUUAGGCCUGUGGAUAAAG
rnacentral:lncRNA from 1 species